CAGACACCAAGCAGAGGAUGACUGCCUUCAUCUGUGCGACCACCAGAGGGACAGAGACGACUCCCUAGCAACAACUGACGCAGCCGCGUAGAAGAAAGCCACGUAACCCCGGAAGAGCCUGAUGAUAAAAGGGGACUGCAAAAGGGGGAAGUUGCGCACCGUUUGGAGGAGCAUGAGCUCCCCGGCCGCCCAGCGCUGUUUUGCUUGCUGAUCGCUUACUCAAUAAACUA